rnacentral:rRNA from 1 species
GGUCUCCUCCCAAAGCGUAACGGAGGAGUACGAAGGUACGCUAGGUACGGUCGGAAAUCGUGCUGAUAGUGCAAUGGCAUAAGCGUGCUUAACUGCGAGACCGACAAGUCGAGCAGGUGCGAAAGCAGGUCAUAGUGAUCCGGUGGUUCUGUAUGGAAGGGCCAUCGCUCAACGGAUAAAAGGUACUCUGGGGAUAACAGGCUGAUACCGCCCAAGAGUUCAUAUCGACGGCGGUGUUUGGCACCUCGAUGUCGGCUCAUCUCAUCCUGGGGCUGUAGCCGGUCCCAAGGGUAUGGCUGUUCGCCAUUUAAAGAGGUACGUGAGCUGGGUUUAAAACGUCGUGAGACAGUUUGGUCCCUAUCUGCCGUGGGCGUUGGAUAUUUGAAGGGGGCUGCUCCUAGUACGAGAGGACCGGAGUGGACGAACCUCUGGUGUACCGGUUGUGACGCCAGUCGCAUCGCCGGGUAGCUAUGUUCGGAAGAGAUAACCGCUGAAAGCAUCUAAGCGGGAAACUCGCCUUAAGAUGAGAUAUCCCUGGGGACUUGAUCCCCUUGAAGGGUCGUUCGAGACCAGGACGUUGAUAGGUCAGGUGUGUAAGCGCAGUAAUGCGUUCAGCUAACUGAUACUAAUUGCCCGUAAGGCUUGAUCCUAUAACA